ACUUGCAGGCAGGUGGGGGUGCAGGAAAACCCACUAGCACUGCCCUCCAAGCUUAAGGCUUCCAUCCUCAGAGCACCCCAUCCAUCCCCUCACUCCCCUCCCCUGUAACUGGCCUUUACCAACCCAUAACCCGUUUCCCCACUUCAUUUUCCCCCCACAACAUCAACAGUCUCUGGCUGCCCGUCCCUCUGCAACACAGGCAGCUCUGAGGAAGAAGAAGGGAGAGAAACGAAAGCAUAGAGGAACGGAACGAUGGAGGGGGAUCAGAGCUGCAUGGAAGGAGUGUGGGCUCCAGAGUGAGCAGGCCUGGGUUCAAAUCUUGGCUCUGUCAUAUACUGGCUGUGACUGGGCAAGUCACCCUACCUCCCCGGGCCUCAGUUUCCACAUCUGGAAAAUGUACACAAGAAUGAAGACCUACUUUGCAAAGCGGUUGUGACUUCUAUGAUGGAAGCUUUUUGCACACCACACAGUGAGUUGAGAGCCUGAGUUAUUGUCAUCCCUGGGGCUGGCAUCAGGCCUGGCAUGGAGGAGGUGCCUGGGAAAUGUUUGGAGAAUAAAAUGAGGGAAGCUGGUAGUGGA
rnacentral:lncRNA from 1 species